rnacentral:rRNA from 1 species
AGUGAACGCUGGCGGUAGGCCUAACACAUGCAAGUCGAACGGCAGCACAGUAAGAGCUUGCUCUUACGGGUGGCGAGUGGCGGACGGGUGAGGAAUACAUCGGAAUCUAUUUUUUCGUGGGGGAUAACGUAGGGAAACUUACGCUAAUACCGCAUACGACCUACGGGUGAAAGCAGGGGAUCUUCGGACCUUGCGCGAUUGAAUGAGCCGAUGUCGGAUUAGCUAGUUGGCGGGGUAAAGGCCCACCAAGGCGACGAUCCGUAGCUGGUCUGAGAGGAUGAUCAGCCACACUGGAACUGAGACACGGUCCAGACCCCUACGGGAGGCAGCAGUGGGGAAUAUUGGACAAUGGGCGCAAGCCUGAUCCAGCCAUACCGCGUGGGUGAAGAAGGCCUUCGGGUUGUAAAGCCCUUUUGUUGGGAAAGAAAAGCAGCAGGUUAAUACCCCGCUGUUCUGACGGUACCCAAAGAAUAAGCACCGGCUAACUUCGUG